rnacentral:rRNA from 1 species
GGAUUAGAUACCCUGGUAGUCCACGCCGUAAACGAUGCACGUUAGUCGUUGGGUCCUCAGGAUUCAGUGACGCAGCUAACGCAUUAAACGUGCCGCCUGGGGAGUACGGCCGCAAGGUUAAAACUCAAAGGAAUUGACGGGGACCCGCACAAGCGGUGGAGCAUGUGGUUUAAUUCGACGCAACGCGAAGAACCUUACCAGUACUUGACAUCCUAGUCGCGGAAUUUGGAGACAAAUUCCUUCAGUUCGGCUGGACUAGUGACAGGUGUUGCAUGGCUGUCGUCAGCUCGUGCUG